rnacentral:lncRNA from 1 species
GCGGGGGACCUGCAGGAGGAUGGUGUUCGGAUGAUGGGCCAGCUGGAGGAUAAUAUUCAGGUCGAAGACCUGCAGGAGGACGAUGUUCAGACAAUGGGCCAACUGGAGGAUAAUAUUCAGGUCGAAGACCUGCAGGAGGGCGGUGUUCAGAUGAUGGGCCAGCUGGAUAAUAUUCAGGUCGAAGACCUGCAGGAGGAUGGUGUUUAGAUGAUGGGACAGCUGGAGGAUAAUAUUCAGGUCGAAGACCUGCAGGAGGAUGGUAUCCAGAUGACCGGCCACCAGAAUAUAUCAGAUCAUGGGAAAAAGGAGGUUCUCUGUAUCGCACAUAGGGAUCACGGUAUUCAAUAUCAUCUUGACGCCUCAUUUCCAAGUCUAGAUGCUG